rnacentral:rRNA from 1 species
GAUGAACGCUGGCGGCGUGCCUAAUACAUGCAAGUCGAGCGAACAGACGAGGAGCUUGCUCCUCUGACGUUAGCGGCGGACGGGUGAGUAACACGUGGAUAACCUACCUAUAAGACUGGGAUAACUUCGGGAAACCGGAGCUAAUACCGGAUAAUAUAUUGAACCGCAUGGUUCAAUAGUGAAAGACGGUUUUGCUGUCACUUAUAGAUGGAUCCGCGCCGCAUUAGCUAGUUGGUAAGGUAACGGCUUACCAAGGCGACGGCGCGUAGCCGACCUGAGAGGGUGAUCGGCCACACUGGAACUGAGACACGGUCCAGACUCCUACGGGAGGCAGCAGUAGGGAAUCUUCCGCAAUGGGCGAAAGCCUGACGGAGCAACGCCGCGUGAGUGAUGAAGGUCUUCGGAUCGUAAAACUCUGUUAUUAGGGAAGAACAAAUGUGUAAGUAACUAUGCACGUCUUGACGGUACCUAAUCAGAAAGCCACGGCUAACUACGUG